rnacentral:tRNA from 1 species
GCCUUAGUGGUAUAGUGGUUAGCACGUUUGACGCGUAAACGAGAGGUCCGUAGUUCGAUUCCCGGCUAGGGUA